rnacentral:rRNA from 1 species
AUUGAACGCUGGCGGCAGGCCUAACACAUGCAAGUCGAACGAGUGGCGGACGGGUGAGUAAUGUCUGGGAAACUGCCCGAUGGAGGGGGAUAACUACUGGAAACGGUAGCUAAUACCGCAUACCAUCGGAUGUGCCCAGAUGGGAUUAGCUUGUAGGUGAGGUAACGGCUCACCUAGGCGACGAUCCCUAGAUGGUCUGAGAGGAUGAACAGCCACGCUGGAACUGAGCCACGGUCCAGACUCCUGUGGGAGGCAGCGGGUGGGAAUAUGUCACAAUGGGCGCAGUCCUGAUGCUGCCAUGCCGCGUGUAUGAAGAAGGCCUUCGGGUUGUAAAGUACUUUCAGCGGGGAGGCGUUACCCGCAGAAGAAGCACCGGCUAACUCCGUGCCAGCCGCCGCGGUAAUUC